GAUGAAGAACGUAGCGAAAUGCGAUAAGUAAUGCGAAUUGCAGAAUUUCCGUGAGUCAUCGAAUCUUUGAACGCACAUUGCGCCCACUGGUAUUCCGGUGGGCAUGUCUGUUCGAGCGUCAUUAUCCUCCCUCAAACCCCGGGUUUGGUGUUGGACCCAAGUUGUGUGAACAACUGGUCUCAAAGACAAUGACGGCGUCCGUGGGACCCUCGGUGCAACGAGCUUUUAGGAGCACGCAUCGAGUUGCAAGGACCUUCCGGGCCGGUCUCCUUUACCAUUUUACAAGGUUGACCUCGGAUCAGGUAGGAAUACCCGCUGAACUUAAGCAUAUCAAUAAGCGGAGGA
rnacentral:misc_RNA from 1 species